rnacentral:rRNA from 1 species
UACCAGCACCCCGAGUGGUCGGGACGAUUAUUGGGCCUAAAGCAUCCGUAGCCGGUCCUACAAGUCUUCCGUUAAAUCCACCUGCUUAACAGAUGGGCUGCGGAAGAUACUAUAGGGCUAGGAGGCGGGAGAGGCAAGCGGUACUCAGUGGGUAGGGGUAAAAUCCUCUGAUCCAUUGAAGACCACCAGCGGCGAAGGCGGCUUGCCAGAACGCGCUCGACGGUGAGGGAUGAAAGCUGGGGGAGCAAACCGG